UCCAAGGGAUCUUAGCUUCAUGGUUGCUA
rnacentral:piRNA from 1 species